UAGAUGCGAGAGUAGAGCAUAUCAAUAAGCGGAGGAAAAGAAACUAACAAGGAUUCCCUUAGUAACGGCGAGUGAAGCGGGAAGAGCUCAAAUUUGAAAUCUUCAAGGUUCUACCUUGACGAAUUGUAGUUUAUAGAAGUGUUUUCUGUUAGUGGAGUGGCAAAAGUUCUUUGGAAUAGGACAUCAUAGAGGGUGAGAAUCCCGUAUUUGGUCAUUCCUCCUAGCGUUGUGAUACACUUUCAACGAGUCGGAUUGUUUGGGAAUGCAGUCCAAAAUGGGUGGUAAAUUUCAUCUAAAGCUAAAUAUUGGCGAGAGACCGAUAGCGAACGAGUACCGUGAGGGAAAGAUGAAAAGAACUUUGAAAAGAGAGUUAAACAGUACGUGAAAUUGUCAAAAGGGAAGCGUUUGACACCAGUGUUGUUUUUCCGAAAAUCAAUUACGAAUGUUUUGUUUUGAAGAAGUUAUGACUUCAUCGGCUUGCUCCUUUCUUUACGAAACUUUCUUAAUGCACUUUUCGGUUAACAAGUCAAACAUACAUCAAUUUCUUUUGUUGUAAAAGGGUAUGAGGAAGGUGGCUUUCUUUUCGGAGAAAGUGUUUAUAGCCUUGUGCCUCUAGCAAUCGGAGAGAUUGAGGUCUGCAGCGUAGAUCCUUCGGGGUUAGAUACAGUUUGUGCUAAGUUAUAGCUUUUCAUAGACAACUUGUUGACUAUGUUUAGUCUUGUAGCUUACUCGCUUAUGCUAUUUUACCUACGCUUAGGAUGUUGACACACGCGCGUGCUCG
rnacentral:rRNA from 1 species